rnacentral:snRNA from 1 species
AGAGCUCAGUAAGGCUAAGAAGCUUCUCUGCCUUGUGGUAUCUGUUCUUCCGUCUUCUAUAUGAGGACUACAUAUUAAAUUGAUUUUUAGGACAGGGAGACGGAACAGGGGCUUGCGCCAUCCGCUCUACGCAUCGAACUGGUAUCGCAGUAACUCCGGGAAUGGUGCACCAUCU